rnacentral:lncRNA from 1 species
UGGACACAAAUUCAGAACAAAAUUGCCAAAGCAAAAAGAGAGCCCAAGAUGCUGACAUGCAGCGAGGCAGGCCCGUCUAUCCCGAUCGGGCUUUAACAAAGAAGAAGCGGAGAAGUCUCAACUACCAGACUACUCUCUACCUAACACACUCUACGAGUGGAUUAGUUGAGUGACUAGACUGAUACUCUAAACAACACCAAUACCACCAAAAAGAAAGUAGAGUUGUGUUGUCUGGUUACAUACCAGCUAUGAUCUAUGUAGUGAAACACUAUUCGAGUUGAAUGGGUAAUGCAUGCCAAUAUUAAAGAAAUUAUCUCAUGCUGGAAACGCACGAGAAAAGGACGAGUACGUAAGAAUUGGAUAUAGGAACUCCAGCGGACUGCUUAGGAAUAUGAUACAAGCAUGAGGAGCACAAGGAUUAUAAGUUUUUGUUGAAGGUCCAAGUUUCAGAUUUGCAAAGUGAAUUGAAGACCUUUUGAAGCCUUUUUCAAAGCCUUGUCCAAGCUCGGGAACUACAAAGACUACAAGGCGCGUUUAUGAAAAUGGACGCAUUUGAGCUUGUUGUGAACUCGCCCAAGGGAGUGUACGCAUUGACAUGUGAGGGCUGGCCUUAGGUUCUCAAAACCACACCCAAGGCUGCCCCAAAUACACUCCACACCCGCCACCCUCAUUAAGGGCAAAGGAGUCCUUUUGCAACACCUUUUGUAAUAAACUAUUUAAACAUUUUCCUUAGUCUUAUUCCUUAGUUAGCUUAUUUUGAAUGAAGAUUGUAACAUUGAAACACCAUUUUCCUCUCAAGAAGAGAGUAGACCACCAACUUUGAACAUCACAAGUGAAAGGUUCCACUUGUUUUGUGAAAUGGCUAGAAACGUGAGUGCUUGAGUGAACCGAGUUCCUCUUGUGUUCAUGUAAGAACUUGGUGCUUGUUAAUAUGAUUUGUAGAGGUUUUAGAGUUUGAUACACUCUUUAUUUUCUACAUUUCGUAUUCUCUUUGUGUCAAGUUAUCUAUCUUCUUUAUCUUUCAAGUUUGUGUUUGUUGUUUCCGCUUGGUGUCUUGUAUGUGUGGGCUGUUUUUGCGAGAUUGCAGACUGUUUUGUGCUCAUUUAGAUACCAUUUGGUAUCAUUUGGUAUCAGAGCGAAGGGUGGUCAUGUUAUUAUACCACCAAUCUUGGGCUCUUCUAUUUGAAAAUUAAAAACAAAAAGAGUGUGUGUUGUCGGGUGACGUGUUUUGACCGAGAAGUUGUCUAGAUUUAGGUGUUUUUUGCUUGUCUUAGUGGUUUCGUGUGUUAUCUUGUUGUUUCCCUAGCACACUUGAGUCUAAAGUCCAAGAUUUGAGCUUUGUUAAGUUGUUGUUGAAAGGUUGGACGGUUUAGAUAUUGUUAUUGUUCAAAGUGUUUUUGUUGUUGUUCAUGUUGUUCUUGAGUAAUAUUCAAUAAAAGGCCUUGUUUGAUUUGAAAAAGGGAAGAGAGAGGUAAGGUAUUGUGUUGUCUUGGGACUACUUUCAAGACAACACUAAAGUGGAAAAGAAAAAAAGACCUACCAAAAGGCUUGCCUACCAAAAGAAUGUCAAAACAUCUUUCAAGAAAGGCCAAAAGAGGAAAGGGAAAAGACAAGGAAAAAAGGUGUUUUGCCAUUUUAGUGCAAGUUGGUGAAAAGAUGAUGUACACCUUUUUGACCUUUGGAAAGAGAGUCCAAAGUCUUGUUUUCUCAUUCCAAAACCAAAAAACAUCACCAAAACAACUAGAUUUAACAACCUAAGUUGAAAAACAUCAAAUUUCAAGCAAGAACAACAACACCAACUGGCAAAUUUAUGGGCCACACCAACAACUAAACUCAAGUCAAUGGACAGUCCUAGUUUCUCUCCUUGUCUCUAUUAGUUUCUUUCUAUUGACUCCUAUACUAGUUGAUAACUAGUAACAACCUACUAAGUUGUGAACUAGUUUUUGAGUACUUCUUUCGUGUUAAGCGUUACUUGUGGUGCUUUGCUCGUUUAUAAUUCAUAGUUAUUUUUGGUUCAAGUGCGUACAAAACUUCUUUGAGUCUUCAAACCGAAAUCCACUCUAACUCAAGAGUAGACUCAUUCCCAAGUUCUCACAAGUUGAUAGCCGGCUUACAACACUUGAUGAACCAAGUGAGGAAGCCGAGUGUGAAAAGUGUGUGAGCGUAUUUUGAACUAACGUUUGCUUGUUUUGUAGGUAUAAUUGCAAAUGGAACUCACAAAUUCCAAUGCUCCAACCGUGCAUAGUAAUGUUAUGAAUGUCCACUUAGCUAGUCUUGAAACUUUGUCUCGAGACAUGGCUAGGUUGAAGGCCAAUAUUGAGAAGUUGGGUUUGGAUGUGGCCUCAACGAGUGGGAGGUUGGAGAGGGUGGAAAGCCAAAGGAUUUAUUGACCUUAUACCCCUCAAAACACCUCACCUACUAUUACUCUCGAGACCUUACACCAAAUAUUAUAUCCACCAAGUGCUACAAACCAAGUCAAUCUUUAUUCCCAAAGAUGAGAACAAGAUAGACCUAGCCAUUCCUCACUCCACCAAGUUCCAUAAGGACUUGGAACCCAAAUUCCAUCCCUAAACCUGAAUCCCCCACUCCAAAAUCCUUCAUUUCAAAGACCCUACACUUCACUAAAUCCAAUGUCUCCUUCCCAAGCUACACUAACCCGAAAACACCCUAUCUAAGUAGAAAAAGGAGAAUGGAGAGAAACUUAGUGGUGAUAUACAAGAAGAAUGUGAAGAAAAGAGGAUAAAGGAAAUGGAAACCGCGGGCAGUGAAGUAGGAAAAGAAAAGAAAAAUAUGCGUGUGGGAUUUGCCCAUAAAGGAUCUUUGAUACUCACUAGCCCAUCUUCUAGCACUUUUCCUAGCAUUGAUCCUAUGUACAGUUUCAAGUUCAUAUGCUAUCAAAGAAGGAUCAAAAGGGGGUCUAUACGAUAACAUGGGAAAUGAGCUAGUGACACCUUUGCCCGAGAGCUCCAAACAAGUGGACUGCCAUGGCAUACACUGAGGUAUGAUUGCUACACUCUACACUUCCUUAGGCUUGAUAUGUUUUUAUAAGGAUAUUAGUAUCCUAUGUGAAGUAGCAUCGUGUUUACAUAGUGUAGAAAAGUAUGAAUCUUUCCUUGGUAGUUCUCUUGUUGCAUAUGUUGGUCAAUUUGUUCUUAAGGAUAGUUCACUACUUGAUCAUGUGAGUGAUGUGAUUCAAAAUCCUCAAGUUAGCGUUCAUUCUUGUAAUAUUGACCAUGAUAUUGGACAUAUUCCUUUGAGCUUGUGUGAUGCAAACCGUGCUACUAGUUUUUCUCAAGGUAAUCAUACGCUUUGAAAACUUUUGAAUAAAGGUGUGCUUGCUCUUAAGAGAAGACUUCUAGGCCACAAAUCUUUAGUAUUGGAUGAUAGCCUAGUAAAAGUAUUGAUUAAUCUCAGCUUAUACCCUUGGUUACACCAUCCCUGUGAUCCCGGAACACUAGUGGGUUGGGAAAGGGGUUGCCUCGGCUUAUGUUUAUCUUUCCUUGAUGAUUAUCUUAUCCCUAUCCUUUGUAAUGUUCAAACUACGUAUUUCAUGAUAAAAACAAAGGAUUUCUGGUUGUAUUUUAAAAGAGUACACCCUCGGCAAGAUGUCUUCACACUUGAUUCCUUUCUAUACUACCUCUUCACCUAUGAUGCUAACCAUGUUAAUUUCGAAUUUGUAUUGUGCAGUGGUAGGAAGUUUGGUGGAUGGUUUCCUUGUUUGCAUGAUGGUGAUAUGUGUUUGAGGUGGAUCUUAAGAUCAAUAGUGGCAUUAUAUUUGAUGAGUUCCUUUGUAGAGGUAAUGAAACAAAUGUAUCUUAUGGUUCCUAAGAUAAAGGUAGUCUUACCUUUUGGGUAUAGUAAAGCCAUUAAGACCAUUGUAGUUUCCUGAUAUCUUGAUAUUUGUCAGAGCCACUUCCUUUGUGUCAUUCAUGCUAAGCUUUUCAUGUCACACACAAAGGACCCGGGGGUAUAUUCCAAAUGUGAACAACCUUGGCUUGAUGACAUAUGUGAUAGUUUCGGAUUGCACUCCUCUUUCCUUGAUGUUUAUCUUAGCCAUGUCCUUUGUGAUGCUUAUGAUACAUGUUUCAUGAUCAUAACAAAGGAUUGUUGGUUGUAUUACAAAAGUGUACCCCCUUGGCAUGUCUAUAUAAUUUGUGGUACUAAUGCUAACCCUCCUAUCAUGAGGAUUGUGUGCUUGUUUUUCCUCUCUUUGGUUUUGCAAGGUGCGAGUUUAAGGACAAAUUCCUUUCAAGAUGUUGAAGGUCCAAGUUUCGGAUUUGCAAAGUGAAUUGAAGACCUUUUGAAGCCUU